rnacentral:lncRNA from 1 species
AGAGAUUUGACAUAGCAUUAAUAACGAUUUCACCAGCGAAUGAGAGCAGCAAGGGCUCGGUUAAUAUGGCUUCUCGAUUGCAGACCAACUCAUCAUCAAAAUUUCGAAUCGUAAGAAUCUCUAGGAUUAUAGGGUGGAGAAGCAUUUAAUUUUUUUGUAUUGAACAAACUUAGAAUUGAUAAAUAAUUUCAAGAGAAUGAAAAGCUUCAUUGGAUGAACAAUCGUAUAGGAUGAAUUAGGAUUUGAAUGGAAGAAAAUUAGUGGAUGAAUUUGAUUAAAUUUGGAUGAUUUUUCAUUCAUGGAUGAAAAACUAUUAUAAAUGAAUGUUAAAUAUUGAUGAAAUUCUGUAUUAAAUAAUUAAUAAUAAUAAAUAAAAUAAAAUAAAUGAGACAAACAAUUUUUUCUUGAGUGUGUGUGGCCUUGUAUGGUGGUGUGGUCUACAUGGUGGAUUGUGAGUGCUUAAGUGUGCAUUUAAAUUGUUAAAAGAUUAAUUUCUCUUAAUACAAAGUUGAAAUAAUUUUUAAUUAAUCACUCAUAAGUUAAUU